rnacentral:rRNA from 1 species
GAUGAACGCUGACAGAAUGCUUAACACAUGCAAGUCGACUCGAGUCUUCGGACUUGGGUGGCGCACGGGUGAGUAACGCGUAAAGAACUUGCCUCUUAGUCUGGGACAACAUCUGGAAACGGAUGCUAAUACCGGAUAUUAUGGUUUUUUCGCAUGGAGGAAUCAUGAAAGCUAGAUGCGCUAAGAGAGAGCUUUGCGUCCCAUUAGCUGGUUGGUGAGGUAACGGCCCACCAAGGCAAUGAUGGGUAGCCGGCCUGAGAGAGUGAACGGCCACAAGGGGACUGAGACACGGCCCUUACUCCUACGGGAGGCAGCAGUGGGGAAUAUUGGACAAUGGACCACAAGUCUGAUCCAGCAAUUCUGUGUGCACGAUGACGUUUUUCGGGAUGUAAAGUGCUUUCAGUCGGGAAGAAGUCAGUGACGGUACCGACAGAAGAAGCGACGGCUAAAUACGUGCCAGCAGCCGCGGUAAUACGUAUGUCGCAAGCGUUAUCCGGAUUUAUUGGGCGUAAAGCGCGUCUAGGCGGCAAGGAAAGUCUGAUGUGAAAAUGCGGAGCUCAACUCCGUAUGGCGUUGGAAACUGCCUUACUAGAGUACUGGAGAGGUAGGCGGAACUACAAGUGUAGAGGUGAAAUUCGUAGAUAUUUGUAGGAAUGCCGAUGGGGAAGCCAGCCUACUGGACAGAUACUGACGCUAAAGCGCGAAAGCGUGGGUAGCAAACAGG